rnacentral:rRNA from 1 species
UACGGGGGGGGCAAGCGUUGUUCGGAAUUACUGGGCGUAAAGGGCGCGUAGGCGGCUUGGUAAGUCGGCCGUGAAAUCCCUCGGCUCAACCGAGGAACUGCGUCCGAUACUGGUGGGCUUGAAUCCGGGAGAGGGAUGUGGAAUUCCAGGUGUAGCGGUGAAAUGCGUAGAUAUCUGGAGGAACACCGGUGGCGAAGGCGGCAUCCUGGACCGGUAUUGACGCUGAGGCGCGAAAGCUAGGGGAGCAAACGGG